CUGGCUCAGGACGAACGCUGGCGGCGUGCUUAACACAUGCAAGUCGAACGAUGAAGCCCUUC
rnacentral:rRNA from 1 species